CAGCCAUGUUGACUGAUACCAUUGGGUGGUGUAGUCCAGCAACAUCCAGUGGACCAUGUUCUCUAUCCCUUGAGCUUCCAUCCUAAAGAUGUCUUCUGUCUGGAACUCAGCCAGGAUAAGGAGCUUCCCAAGGGAGCUCCAAAAUUGUAACCAGUGGAUUGUUAUGGUGGGAACACUCUUAGGGGAACUUUUCUACCUAAGCUUUGAAAAUGUUGGAGGAAUUGUGGUCAACUGAGCCUUGAGCUGGCCAGCCUGGUUUUCUCGAGAAAGGUUUGCACCAGGAACACUCAAUUUUAGGAGAGCCACCGCUUUCUAAAUCAGUUGGGAUGCUAAUUUAGAAAUAACCAGUAUUUCAGGACUGCCCAUGGGUUAGAACCCUUCUUUGCUAGUUUUUUACAAGCCGAGAUGAGAAUCAUUUCAAAAAUGGUGAUAUCUCAGCCACCUUGAGGCAGUCCAACAUUGUGCUUUUUUGGGGGGGCUGUUCCAGCUCGUGUAUCAGGGCCUGGAUACCGUCCAGCUCCGUUUUUUGAAACUUCACAGCAGUCUGGCCACACAGAAAGUGUCAUAUUCCUGCAGGCCACACUCAGAUGGAAGCACAAAGCAUAUAGAAAAAGAAGUCAAGUUUCUUACAGAUUCCCGGGACCAGAGCUAUUUGAGUACUCUCCAGGGAUGUGAGCUGGACAAUGAAUCUUCAGUCAUGGAUGCCAUCUUUUUUUUCUCCACUGGAGAUCUUUCCCUGAUGCCUUUGCGUGAUCUCGCGGUGUUCCACAAUGGCGAUGUCUCCCAUCAGUUCGGAUUUACCAUUGGGCCAGUUUGCUUCAACUAAGCUCACCAAAACUUCAGCUAAACUCACCGGAGUCUCCCACUCCCCCUAGAAAAGAAAGACAAGAAGACUUGCAGGAGAAAAGGAAGGAAGAAGAUACGGGGAAGACACCUCCCUCCAUCGAUUCAGCCCAUUGUUCAAAGCCACUACUGUGACUCAUGGCUGCUCAGUGCCAUUUCCCAUACUUCCUUCCGAAGGAUGAAGAAAUAUUAUGUUUAUAAGAAUGCUAUUUUAAGUCCUGUUUUUUUCAUGUAUGUAUGUAUGUAUGUAUGUAUGUAUGUAUGUAUGUAUGUAUGUGUAUACCCUGUUUCUCCAACAAUACGGCCUCCCCCAAUAGGAAGUCCCAGCA
rnacentral:lncRNA from 1 species